GACCUUAUAGCUCAGGCGGUAAAGCAUGAGACUCUUAAUCUCAAGGUCAUGGGUUCAAGCCCCACUUGGGGUGA